rnacentral:rRNA from 1 species
AUGCAGUCGAGCGGAUGACGGGAGCUUGCUCCUUGAUUCAGCGGCGGACGGGUGAGUAAUGCCUAGGAAUCUGCCUGGUAGUGGGGGACAACGUUUCGAAAGGAACGCUAAUACCGCAUACGUCCUACGGGAGAAAGCAGGGGACCUUCGGGCCUUGCGCUAUCAGAUGAGCCUAGGUCGGAUUAGCUAGUUGGUGGGGUAAUGGCUCACCAAGGCGACGAUCCGUAACUGGUCUGAGAGGAUGAUCAGUCACACUGGAACUGAGACACGGUCCAGACUCCUACGGGAGGCAGCAGUGGGGAAUAUUGGACAAUGGGCGAAAGCCUGAUCCAGCCAUGCCGCGUGUGUGAAGAAGGUCUUCGGAUUGUAAAGCACUUUAAGUUGGGAGGAAGGGCAGUAAGCUAAUACCUUGCUGUUUUGACGUUACCGACAGAAUAAGCACCGGCUAACUCUGUGCCAGCAGCCGCGGUAA